UACAGAGGGUGCAAGCGUUAUUCGGAAUUACUGGGCGUAAAGCGUGCGUAGACGGUUAUGUAAGUCAGGUGUGAAAGCCCAGGGCUCAACCUUGGAAUUGCAUUUGAGACUGCAUAGCUAGGGUGCGGAAGAGGGAAGCGGAAUUUCCGGUGUAGCGGUGAAAUGCGUAGAUAUCGGAAGGAACACCAGUGGCGAAAGCGGCUUCCUGGUCCAGCACCGACGUUCAGGCACGAAAGCGUGGGGAGCAAACAGG
rnacentral:rRNA from 1 species